GAUGCCGCUGCCGUCAUCCGGCGGCACGGUGCUGAUCGAAACGCUGAACAUUCUCGAAGGCUACAAGCUGCGCGAGAUGGGCGCGGGCUCUGUCGAUGCACUGCACGUCUCCAUCGAGGCGAUGAAGCGCGCCUAUGCCGACCGCGCGCGCUAUCUCGGCGAUCCUGCUUUCGUCAAUGCGCCCACAUUUCAGUUGAUCGGGAAAGACUACGCGGCCAAGCAGCGCGCCACCAUCGAUCUUGCAAAGG
rnacentral:misc_RNA from 1 species